CGCCCGCGCGGUCCUAGAGCCGAAGCGGACAUUGCGCAUGCGCACCCCACACCGCCCGGCUAGCUGGAUCCAGGUCUGGGCCCCGCCCUACGCGUUUCCAGCGCCGGAGGUCUUAAUCCCGCCCUGACUCGCACCAGCAGUGAGACAGUAGGGCAAGCAUUACUAAUGCCCUCCGCCAUCUCCCAGGAUCUGCUGAACUCAGGAGUUAUCUGACUUACUUUGGCCAAUAAAAUAUGGAAACGCCUCGUGCUUGAACAGGCUUGGGAGCGGACCAGGAGCCCGGGGAAAGGGACAAGUAGAGAUGCAGGAAAGCAGGAGGACAGGAAGGAGGCCCAGCCGGCUCCAGCCACUAAGGGAGCUCGCUCGCCUCACUUCCACUGCGGCCAGAAAGUCAGCUUCGGCGCCUCCCCCGGGACGCUGGUUCCCCGCCUCAGAUUAAGCUCGGCUGUCUGUACCGGAUGCCCGCGCCUGCGCUGCACCGCCCUUCGCGGAGCGCGGAGCCAAAUGCCUACAUCCCACAAUCCCCCGCAACGCCGGCAGGGGCGAGACCUCAGCUUCCAGCUCUGGGCAAGACCAGGCUCAGAUUGUCGCGUAGUUUUCUGGGAAAUGCCGUUUGCGUUCCAGGAUGCUUAUGCCACCUUUG
rnacentral:lncRNA from 1 species